GUCCUCGUAGCUCAGCUGGAUAGAGCGUCAGCUUGCGGAGCUGAAGGUCGUAGGUUCAAAUCCUGCCGGGGACACCA
rnacentral:tRNA from 1 species